AGACCCGAAACCCGGUGAUCUAGCCAUGGGCAGGUUGAAGGUUGGGUAACACUAACUGGAGGACCGAACCGACUAAUGUUGAAAAAUUAGCGGAUGACCUGUGGCUGGGGGUGAAAGGCCAAUCAAACCGGGAGAUAGCUGGUUCUCCCCGAAAGCUAUUUAGGUAGCGCCUCGUGAAUUCAUCUCCGGGGGUAGAGCACUGUUUCGGCUAGGGGGCCAUCCCGGCUUACCAACCCGAUGCAAACUGCGAAUACCGGAGAAUGUUAUCACGGGAGACACACGGCGGGUGCUAACGUCCGUCGUGAAGAGGGAAACAACCCAGACCGCCAGCUAAGGUCCCAAAGUCAUGGUUAAGUGGGAAACGAUGUGGGAAGGCCCAGACAGCCAGGAUGUUGGCUUAGAAGCAGCCAUCAUUUAAAGAAAGCGUAAUAGCUCACUGGUCGAGUCGGCCUGCGCGGAAGAUGUAACGGGGCUAAACCAUGCACCGAAGCUGCGGCAGCGACACUCAGGUGUUGUUGGGUAGGGGAGCGU
rnacentral:rRNA from 1 species